rnacentral:rRNA from 1 species
CCUACGGGUGGCAGCAGUGGGGAAUAUUGCACAAUGGGGGAAACCCUGAUGCAGCGACGCCGCGUGAGUGAAGAAGUAUUUCGGUAUGUAAAGCUCUAUCAGCAGGGAAGAAAUAAAGUCCUUCGGACUUUGGACGGUACGUGACUAAGAAGCCCCGGAUAACUACGUGCCAGCAGCCGCGGUAAUACGUAGGGGGGAAGCGUUAUCAGGAUUUACUGGGGGUAAAGGGAGCGUAGACGGCAGCGCAAGUCUGGAGUGAAAUCCCAUGGCUUAACCAUGGAACUGCUUUGGAAACUGUGCAGCUGGAGUGCAGGAGAGGUAAGCGGAAUUCCUAGUGUAGCGGUGAAAUGCGUAGAUAUUAGGAGGAACACCAGUGGCGAAGGCGGCUUACUGGACUGUAACUGACGUUGAGGCUCGAAAGCGUGGGGAGCAAACAGGAUUAGAUACCCCGGUAGUC